CUCUAUACGUCAUUUAGAAGAUCAAUUAGAAAAGACAAUGCGUAAGAAAAAUUAAAUUUUAGUUGUAUUACUUGUUUAAUUGCCCAAAGUUUAGUGACUUGUAACCAAUAUUAAUUUUUUUAAUUUGUAGUAAAUUAAAAACUCUAGAUUUAGUUUAAUUGAAUUUGUUAUUAUUUUUAGAGGAUUUCAUGAGAAACAGUAAGUGAUAUAAAGUUUAAUAAAUUGUCGAGUAGACAUUUUGGCUAGUUUUUAACUUUAUUUGAUUUUUGAAGAUUAUAUUUCAUAGAUGAAUUAAAUAGUGUUAAUCGAAAAAUAAUUUUAAGUUCAAAAAAUUUUUCAAUUUUUAUUAUCUUUCUUAUUUAGUGAACUCUAGUGGAUCUAGUUCUACUUUUGUGCCUCCUCCUGUUACCACUGUUGUGUCUCCUCCUGUUGUCACUACACUUACAUAUGCUGAUUAUUUAACCUAUCGGUCCCAGCAUCCAGGACCCCGAUCAAACAAAUCUUUUUUGAGUUGGGUCCGGAAUGGUGGGGAGGACUAUCCACAUUUUAGGUGGCAUCCCUACUCGGGUGCUGGGUCAAACAACCGAGGGCAUCAGGAAAGGAGACGUGGCAAUAGAGGAGGCAGCAGCGGAAGCACUUUUAAUUAUUAUUUAAAUUAAAAGUUUAUAUUUUUGUUCGUUUUUAUUUUGUAAAUAUAAGAUUUUUUGUUAAUAAAAGUUAGUUCUUUCUUCAAUGUGUUAAUGUAUUGUCCGCAGAAAAGUAACAAAAGCAUAACUCACUCUCUUAAAAUCUUUCUGCAAAUCUCUAUUAUGAUAUUAAAAAGUUGAUUUAUUUUAUUUUUGCAAGAGUUAUAAAUAAACACAACAAAAUUAGAAUCAUUAGAGUUCACAUCAAUAUUAGAAUCAUUUUGUCUUUUUAUCAUUUAAAAAUUUCUUUUUAAAUACGUU